AGUGGCGGACGGGUGAGUAACACGUAAGAAUUUGCCUCUAGGAGGGGGACAACAGACAGAAAUGACUGCUAAUACCCCAUAUGCUUUCGAGUAAAAUGGAUUUUUCCGCCUAGUAGAGAAGCUUGCGGCUGAUUAGCUUGUUGGUAAGGUAAUGGCUUACCAAGGCGACGAUCAGUAUCUGGUUUGAGAGGAUGAUCAGACACACUGGAACUGAGACACGGUCCAGACUCCUACGGGAGGCAGCAGUGGGGAAUUUUCCGCAAUGGGCGAAAGCCUGACGGCGCAAUCUCGCGUGAGGGAUGACUGCCUAUGGGUUGUAAACCUCUUUUUUCAGGGAGGAAUAAAUGACGUGUACCUGAAGAAUAAGCAUCGGCUAACUCCGUGCCAGCAGCCGCGGUAAGACGGAGGAUGCAAGUGUUAUCCGGAAUCACUGGGCGUAAAGCGUCUGUAGGUGGUUUAAUAAGUCAACUGUUAAAUCUUGAAGCUCAACUUCAAAAUCGCAGUCGAAACUAUUAGACUUGAGUAUAGUAGGGGUAAAGGGAAUUUCCAGUGGAGCGGUGAAAUGCGUAGAGAUUGGAAAGAACACCGAUGGCGAAGGCACUUUACUGGGCUAUUACUGACACUCAGAGACGAAAGCUAGGGUAGCAAAUGGGAUUAGAUACCCC
rnacentral:rRNA from 1 species